GGGCGCUGAGCUCCUGACACGAACAGUGACAGUGACGGCAGCCCCACCACAGCUUUCACAGCCUGAGCCCCCAGGGACCGACUUCUGUCCCUGGAUUCUGAUCCUUCGGCCACACCUCUGAGGGGCCAGGGGGCGGCUGUGCCCUGGAGGUGCCACCUACCCCCCCCGCCGCCCCUGCCCACCCAGCGUCCCCUCAAUGCUCCCUCCCUGGGGGGCUUGUCUCUGUGUUCCCCAGUGCCCUGGAGAUGCAGCCAGAGGCCGGCGGGCUCCCUCUGCUGACAGCACGAGUGAGGAGGACCCGGGACCCCUGGCUCUAGACGGCAGCUUCCAGGCGCUGAAGAUGCUGCUGGUCUGCAGGCCCCCCUCGGAGAGGCAAGGCCUGAGGCUCUGUUGACUUUGACCCUUCAUAGCAAUCCUCGAACAGAGAGACACUGGCUCACAGAGGGUAGGCGACCUCUCCGGUGAGUGACCCCCUCAGGUGAGGGACAUGGGCAGGUAAGGGGUGUCCCUGUGUUCGUGUCGUCUCCAUGGUCACGGGGCAGGUGCGCGGUGGAGCCAGGACUUGAAUACGGAGCUCGAGAGGCCGGAGCUCCCGGUGGCCGCGACCGCCGCCUGGAACUGGAACUGCCCGGCGAGCUUCCUGUGGCUGUGACUCUGCCUUAAAGGCUGUGCUGCGUCAUUGCCUCAUUCAUGCGCUGAGAUGAGAAGACGGCCUCCCCUCCCCCAGGCCUCAGCCAGGAACGCUGCUCCCGUGGGAAACCGGCCCGACUGGACUCAGGGCCGAGGGAGCGUCCAAGCCGCCUCGGGAGGAGGGAGAGGCUGCGCCUCCGCCCCGGACGGUCUCACUGUCCGCGGCUCCGCGGACACCACGGCGCUGGCGGGGGCCUGAAAGUGCCGUCGUUCUGCCGUCAGAAUUCACCACCGCAGCUGGACGGGAAGAGCCACGCAGACCCCAAGGGGCGGCUUUGACCCUGAUGAGCGGUUUCAACCACGAGAAACCCCGACAGAGCCUCUCGCCCGGCCGGCGACACGCGCCCCGGCAAAGCUGCAGCCUCCCGCCUGGUUCCCGGCUUCGCAACCCCAUCGCGACCCGGCGAUGCCUCUCCGCAGAGUCCAACUUGGGAUCCACCCAGCAAGGUCACCCAGAGAGCAAAUACCAGUCCAGCUGUCCUUGACUUAGGGGAAAUUCGGAGAGAGGAGAUCACCAAAAUCAACAGACCACAGCGGCGGCAACAAAACCCUGUCAGAGUCAGAAAGGGAGUGAGAAUGGAGUAAAAUGUAUUUUAUAAUCUGCAUUCCAUUUAUGAAUUACGUUUAAGAACAAACAUGAGUGUGAGGUGACAGUGCAUGUCUAUGCCCAGGAAACAGUAUCUAAAAACGUUUUAAGUCCCAGCCUCGGUCCUAGUUUCCCAGACUCUGGGUGGGGGGGUUCAGGACUGAGCCCCUGCACCCACUCUGCAUUCAGCCCGGACCUGAGCUGCUUUGGGGAUUCCAGACGCCAUCUGCCCUCAGGACACUCUGAAAACCCAGAGCCCUUCUGCGCUGAUACCCUUCUGUCUCCUCAGGGGCCACAGGUCCUCAGAUGUGUGUCAGGAGCUGUGACCCAGCACUGGGUAGAGAAGGAUCUGGAACCAGCUGUUCCCUCUGCCUGCAGCAUCCUGUCACCCCAAACCCCAGGUAGCUCCCUCUCCUCCUGCUAACUUCAGCUCAAACAUCACCUCAUCAGCCAGGCCUUCUCUGGCCUCCUGACCUCCCUGGAACCCAGCCCUGGUGCCCCCUCCCGUUAUUCUGCUUUAUCGUCUCCAUGGCACUGCCCUGCAUCAGAUGUGGUUCAUAUUCACCCCGAGGUCUGUCUCUGUCCACUGUCCCACCGCAGUGUCUUCUCCAUGCGGACCUGGGCCACCUGCUCUGCUCAGGGCAGCGCCCCGGUGCCCAGAGGUGCAUCUUGCUGCGUGUUUGGGUGGAUGAAUGAGUGAAUGAAUGAGAUCAUGCCUUCUUGGCGGGGCCACACCGCUCCCACGGGGCCAGCUUGGUUCUGGGGGGUGAAGGGAUCUUAUUCUCUUUAUAUAAGAACACAGAUGUACCUUCAGUACUUAAACCAUUGUCUGGUAUUUCUGUGGUAUUAAAAUUUCAUGAGGGGAGAUUAAGAAAAACUCCAGAGUGGCUCCUUAGGGGGUGAUAAUGAAAUGGAGUUUGAGAGACACCGAAUUAGAGGAAAAUCCACGGAAACGACAGCCUCCCUCCGCCCCCCACGCUUUCCAAGGCGCGGGUGGGAACGCAGAGCAUCCGUUUAUGUGGAAGAGCCACAGGCGUUUUCCUGAUGGGAAGGAAGAGGAGCGGGUCGCUUUGCGUUGGGGAAACUGUUUUUUUUCCCGCCAAGGGACAGACUUACAAGGAUGAUAUUUACAUUUUCCUGAAGCCUCUCCUUUUCUCAUUGAUCAUUUCUCGGAGCCCGCGGCCCUUCCACAGCGCGUGGAAUGUUUGCACACAGCUAAUGAUCCUCUCACCAAACACGUCACAUCUCCACAAAAUGAGAAACGCGUUCAAGUUGCUGAGGCUGCUGAUUCCAGCCAUUAAUGUCACGCUGUGCGUCACAGGUGGGGUCGCGGGACCUCUCAUAUGACCCCCAGUUCUGCGACUCUUGGCGGAUGUAUUUCCCCCAAGCCCGAGCUCCUAAACUCGACCCCAGCCUGGGCUAAAUGCGGCUACCCUGGGCUCUGGGGGAGCCAGACCCAGGCCCGAGUCUCUCCUUCACUGAGCACGGUGAGCUGAGCCCAGAUCCCCGAGUAGGAGGACCCAAGAGAGCUGCGGGGACAUCCAGCUGGUCCAGCCACCUCCUUGCAUGUGGGCAGGUCACUGGAAGGUGUGGCUGAGACCGAGAGCCCUGCUCUGAGCUGAUGCCUGUCAUCCCAGGAGCCAUUAUGAGAAUCUCCGGGCCCCAGACUCCUGAGCGGCAGGGUCCUAAGAGUCACCGGCUUGACGCUGGCUCCUCGCAGGGGAGGAAGGUGGUUUCCAGCGAUGUCGUGGUGCUCGCCCAGUGCCACACAGCACAUGAGGGCAGAGCUGUGUCCAACAUCCCCCGAUCUCUCCACCUCCUGCAAAGACCCUCGAAGCUUCUCAGGAGCUUGGGUGUGAGCGGCCAAUAGGAUCUCCAACUUCCAGGCAGGAAUCCAGGACUAAUCCUGAUGGAUUAGCAAAGUCAUCCUAUUGCAGAGACCCCCGAUGCCCCACCUAGUUCAGACCCUUGGACUCUAGGACACUGAAAUUCUCUCCAAAAUGUGAACAAUGAAGACGUGCUUGGGAACCAGGAAAGGCUGAGCAGCUGAUGACCAUUUGGGUUUUGUGGCCUCCUUUUCAAAAGGAAAUAAAUACGGCAGAAAUGCUCUUCACAGAAGGGGCUUCAGGAUUUCAUAAAUAGACCAUAAAGAGGCAACAGAAGAACCAGCACAGCCCCAAAUCAACAUCUGUCCCCUGUCAUCUGGCUCUCCCUCCAUCAUCACCAUUCUCUCUCUCAAGAGCGAAACAAGCAUUCUUGUCUUUUGGAAAGAGAACCAUCUUCUCCCCGCCCAGACCUGCUUGGCAUCUUCCAAAGGUGGAGGAGCGUGCAUCCAAUAGGUGGGAUGGUGAGACCUGAUCUCCAUCAGUGGGCAGGGCUAAUAUUACACAUGGUUCUAAAAGUCAGGAUGCUUUUGGCAGCGAGUAACAGAACUUCCAACUAAAGGCGUCUUACACCUUUGUGGCCCAAAGCAGGGCCCAUGGAUCCAUAGCAUGAGCGUCUGCAGCCUGCAGGAAUUUGGAAUCUUAGGUUCUACCUCGGACUUACUGAAUAAGAGUCUGCACUUGCAGUAGAGCCCCAGGUGAUUCAUAUGCAUGUGAAAGUCUGCGAAGUACUAGUUUAAAUGAAAAAGGCUUUUUUUGUGUGUGUGUGUGAACUUUAAAAGAAGCCCACAAAAGACAAUUCCAAUUUGGUUAACUCAUGGGUACAAAGAUGUCAGGCCUCUAUCUCUGCAUCUUGGAGAUUUUUUUGGCUUCUGCCUCAGGGUUUCAAGAUGGCUGCUAUGGCUCCAACAUCAUCAAACCAAGUCCAAAACAAAUGAAAGGAAUAGGUGCUGGAGAAUUUUUCUUAUGUGUACCUUGGAAAAAGCUUUCCCAGAAAUCUCUAGUUGAUGUUCUUUGAGAUCCUAUUGGCUAGAAGUGGCUGGCAGGCCCACUCUUAAACCAGUCGCAAGUGAUGGGGAGUAGGUUUACUGGGAUCGGCCUUUGAACCACUGACCAAUCAAGUGUCUCCUCUUAGGGAUGGGAUAGGGCCACCUUCUCCAUCACAUCAUCAUGUACCAGAGACUUGAAACGUGCUGUCUUACAACCAAUGAAUCAGAUAUGAGUGCCGGCUUAUCUGGGAUUAGGAAACUGAAAGCCACAGGGUUUCUGUGUCCUGCACACAUUCAGAGCAAGCAGAAGCAGAGCCAGCUUUGUGCCAAGGGGCUUGAAUCCAGGGGCAGAGCUCAUCCCACGAUGCUCACACCAGGACCACGGUCCCCUUGAGUGAACUUGCAGGAAACAAAGGCAUUUCCCGUGUUCACUUGUGUCCAACGCUGCCUUGUCUACUUAGCACAAAACCUUUAUUAAGUUAGGGCUGCUUAGCAUAAUGCUCCUUUGCUCCGGCACCCCCGCAGUGAUCAGACUGAGUGCAUCUCGGAGUCUAGCAGGAUUCUUGACGCAUGGCGGGACCUCGUCAUGAUUUGCCUCAUUUAAUGGAAUUGCAUUAUGAUGCUUUGCACACUUCAUCACACCUAACAGUGUUUUGCACAGAGUUGUUUAACAAACGCUUGCAGAAUGACUAUAUGACCAAUCAAUUAGUUCCCUUUCAAUUGAGCACUUAACUUUGUCCCUACAAAUGCAUGAGAUAAAAUGG
rnacentral:lncRNA from 1 species